rnacentral:lncRNA from 1 species
GUAGAACAGAGGAAAAAGAGAGGGUUGGUGGAGGGUGGGUUUUGGGAGAAAAUGGGGUCCAUAUUUUUGGGUUGUUAAAGAUGGCAACUUGACUAAAGAGGUGGGGCCUUUACAAGGACGGCUUUUUACCGACCACGACCAGUGCCACAAUACGUCGGAGAAAUUUGCCAGACCAUUUCCCCUCUUCACCUACCGCAACCGUGAUUCCUACCGGAAAGCCUUUUAUUAUCAAUUACUUAAAUCCCG